AAGACAUAGCUACUCAUCAUACAAAUAAAGAAAUCACUCGAAAAAGAACAAUAUAAAAUUAUGAAAACUGAGACUGCCUCUACAAGUAAUAGUUUACAAUCCCCAGUACAGGUGGAAAAAUUGGACACUGCUAUCUUUCUGCGAGUUAACUUUCUUGGUAUACCACCAAAUAAUUCCCAGCAUCAUCCUCAAUCCAACACCAGUUUAAUGUUUUGAAAACAUACCUUGUGUUAAAGAGGAGAAAUCGUACUCUUUUCCCGACUGUGAAGGAGUAGCUGAUGAUACCGACGCUGUCGAUUGAGGUUUAUUUUUUGCUAUGGGGGUCACACCAUUCGCCGGCACUGAAGAAGCUUGCCCCAGGCUAUAAAGGCUAGAUGUUGGAUAUGGAACAGAACUCCCAACUGGAUUUGCCAGCCCCCUGUUCAUUGCCUGCACAGUAGUUUGUGGCCCACCCUGGGCACCUAUUUGCAUCAUCAGUCCAGGAAUCGGGUAGGCAACAUUUGGCCAACUUUGAGGAGGAACAUUGGUACCAUUGGGGACAGAGGCUUGAGUACUGCUAAAUUUUGCGUCCCCAGCAGCUGACUUAGCUGCAGCAGCCAUGAGAAGUGAUUGUUGCUGAGCUAGCAUGGCAAGUUGCUGUUGAUGAGAAGUAUUGCUAAAUUUUGU
rnacentral:misc_RNA from 1 species